AUGAUUUCAAGAGAUUUUUCCUUCAAAAAUUGGAAAUGCUCUUGUACUGAAGAUAACGUUCUGACAAAGAAGCGGGUAUCACUUAUUGAUCACCAGGUGAUGAAUAUAUUGGUGGGGAUGCAAGUAAUGGACCAUAUUUUUCACCAUUCCUCUAUGGCUAUGGUACUUCAACACCUAUGUAAGAAGAUGAUGAACAGCCAAAUACUUCUAGUUCCUAUUGUAAAUAAAGCAAAAGAUGUUUUGUGGCAAAGAUGCAGACCGCAAGACCAAACUAAGCCUUCCAUGAGUCUCAUUUUUUGA
rnacentral:rRNA from 1 species